UCUUUGCGUUAGGGAUUGCAGUGUAAAUCCUUUUGCUUUGUUGGCAAAAGAUUGCAACGAAAAGCGCGACCUGUA
rnacentral:sRNA from 1 species